GAGUGGCGGACGGGUGAGUAACACGUGGGUAACCUGCCCUUAAGUGGGGGAUAACAUUUGGAAACAGAUGCUAAUACCGCAUAGAUCCAAGAACCGCAUGGUUCUUGGCUGAAAGAUGGCGUAAGCUAUCGCUUUUGGAUGGACCCGCGGCGUAUUAGCUAGUUGGUGAGGUAAUGGCUCACCAAGGCGAUGAUACGUAGCCGAACUGAGAGGUUGAUCGGCCACAUUGGGACUGAGACACGGCCCAAACUCCUACGGGAGGCAGCAGUAGGGAAUCUUCCACAAUGGACGCAAGUCUGAUGGAGCAACGCCGCGUGAGUGAAGAAGGCUUUCGGGUCGUAAAACUCUGUUGUUGGAGAAGAAUGGUCGGCAGAGUAACUGUUGCCGGCGUGACGGUAUCCAACCAGAAAGCCACGGCUAACUACGUGCCAGCAGCCGCGGUAAUACGUAGGUGGCAAGCGUUAUCCGGAUUUAUUGGGCGUAAAGCGAGCGCAGGCGGUUUUUUAAGUCUGAUGUGAAAGCCCUCGGCUUAACCGAGGAAGCGCAUCGGAAACUGGGAAACUUGAGUGCAGAAGAGGACAGUGGAACUCCAUGUGUAGCGGUGAAAUGCGUAGAUAUAUGGAAGAACACCAGUGGCGAAGGCGGCUGUCUGGUCUGUAACUGACGCUGAGGCUCGAAAGCAUGGGUAGCGAACAGGAUUACAUACCCUGGUAGUCCAUGCCGUAAA
rnacentral:rRNA from 1 species